rnacentral:rRNA from 1 species
AUUGAACGCUGGCGGCAUGCCUUACACAUGCAAGUCGAACGGCAGCAUGAUCUAGCUUGCUAGAUUGAUGGCGAGUGGCGAACGGGUGAGUAAUGCAUCGGAACGUGCCCUGUAGUGGGGGAUAACUAGUCGAAAGAUUAGCUAAUACCGCAUACGACCUGAGGGUGAAAGUGGGGGACCGCAAGGCCUCAUGCUAUAGGAGCGGCCGAUGUCUGAUUAGCUAGUUGGUGAGGUAAAGGCUCACCAAGGCGACGAUCAGUAGCUGGUCUGAGAGGACGAUCAGCCACACUGGGACUGAGACACGGCCCAGACUCCUACGGGAGGCAGCAGUGGGGAAUUUUGGACAAUGGGCGAAAGCCUGAUCCAGCAAUGCCGCGUGUGUGAAGAAGGCCUUCGGGUUGUAAAGCACUUUUGUCCGGAAAGAAAUGGCUCUGGUUAAUACCUGGGGUCGAUGACGGUACCGGAAGAAUAAGGACCGGCUAACUACGUGCCAGCAGCCGCGGUAAUACGUAGGGUCCAAGCGUUAAUCGGAAUUACUGGGCGUAAAGCGUGCGCAGGCGGUUGUGCAAGACCGAUGUGAAAUCCCCGAGCUUAACUUGGGAAUUGCAUUGGUGACUGCACGGCUAGAGUGUGUCAGAGGGGGGUAGAAUUCCACGUGUAGCAGUGAAAUGCGUAGAGAUGUGGAGGAAUACCGAUGGCGAAGGCAGCCCCCUGGGAUAACACUGACGCUCAUGCACGAAAGCGUGG